rfam:Aedes albopictus isolate Foshan contig71069, whole genome shotgun sequence.
UGUUCUGUGGCUUAGUUGGUUAAAACACUGAACUAGCGAUAUGGAGUCGUGGGUUCGAAUCCCACCAAAACAA